GACGAACGCUGGCGGCGUGCUUAACACAUGCAAGUCGAACGGAAAGGCCCUGCUUUUGUGGGGUGCUCGAGUGGCAAACGGGUGAGUAACACGUGAGUAACCUGCCCUUGACUUUGGGAUAACUUCAGGAAACUGGGGCUAAUACCGGAUAGGGGCUCCUGCUGCAUGGUGGGGGUUGGAAAGUUUCGGCGGUUGGGGAUGGACUCGCGGCUUAUCAGCUUGUUGGUGGGGUAGUGGCUUACCAAGGCUUUGACGGGUAGCCGGCCUGAGAGGGUGACCGGCCACAUUGGGACUGAGAUACGGCCCAGACUCCUACGGGAGGCAGCAGUGGGGAAUAUUGCACAAUGGGCGGAAGCCUGAUGCAGCAACGCCGCGUGCGGGAUGACGGCCUUCGGGUUGUAAACCGCUUUCGCCUGUGACGAAGCGUGAGUGACGGUAAUGGGUAAAGAAGCACCGGCUAACUACGUG
rnacentral:rRNA from 1 species